rnacentral:rRNA from 1 species
AAUCUUCCACAAUGGGCGAAAGCCUGAUGGAGCAACGCCGCGUGAGUGAAGAAGGAUUUCGGAUAAACCAACUCUGUUGUAAGGACAGAACAAGUACAGUAGUAACUGGCUGUACCUUGACGGUACCUUAUUAGAAAGCCACGGCUAACUACGUGCUAGCAGCCGCGGUAAUACGUAGGUGGCAAGCGUUGUCCGGAAUUAUUGGGCGUAAAGCGCGCGCAGGCGGUCCUUUAAGUCUGAUGUGAAAGCCCACGGCUCAACCGUGGAGGGUCAUUGGAAACUGGGGGACUUGAGUGCAGAAGAGGAAAGUGGAAUUCCAAGUGUAGCGGUGAGAUGCGUAGAGAUUUGGAGGAACACCAGUGGCGAAGGCGACUUUCUGGUCUGUAACUGACGCUGAGGCGCGAAAGCGUGGGGAGCAAACA